rnacentral:rRNA from 1 species
UCUUUUUGGAGAGUUUGAUCCUGGCUCAGGAUGAACGCUGGCGGCGUGCCUAAUACAUGCAAGUCGAGCGGAUCUGAGGGAGCUUGCUCCCAAAGAUUAGCGGCGGACGGGUGAGUAACACGUGGGCAAUCUGCCUGUAAGACUGGGAUAACUUCGGGAAACCGGAGCUAAUACCGGAUAAUAUAGAGAACCGCAUGGUUCCCUAUUAAAAGAUGGUUUCGGCUAUCACUUACAGAUGAGCCCGCGGCGCAUUAG